CAGUGGUAUUUGGCUUCUGAAACAGAGUGUCAGGAAGUGCAGAUUGACGUCAGGCAUGGGUGCCGCUGAUUGGCUAGAGUGGUCAGUUGACGCUCUAAGCCAAUCGCUAGUUCCCGGUUCAUAAAAUGUUUUUACUUUUUUAUGAAUGGGGAGCUACUGAUUGGCUUAGAGUGCCAGCUGACCGCUCUAGCCAAUCAGCAACACCCCUACCCAAUGGCACUCUGUGCUUCCUGACACUCAGUAAAUAAAAGUGAACACAUUAACACCAAUAUUUUUUUACCUUUGGAGAUGAGAAGGUCCAGCGUUUCCCUGCCAGGCACUUUACCUUUGUGCUCCUUCUGAUUCUUUCUGCUCCUUUACCUUUGUGCUCCUUGCUGUCUCUUU